UACGAAGGGGGCUAGCGUUGCUCGGAAUGACUGGGCGUAAAGGGCGCGUAGGCGGCUCAUACAGUCAGGCGUGAAAUUCCUGGGCUCAACCUGGGGACUGCGCUUGAGGCGUGUGGGCUUGAGUGGGGAAGAGGGUCGUGGAAUUCCCAGUGUAGAGGUGAAAUUCGUAGAUAUUGGGAAGAACACCGGUGGCGAAGGCGGCGACCUGGUCCUUGACUGACGCUGAGGCGCGAAAGCGUGGGGAGCAAACAGG
rnacentral:rRNA from 1 species